AAUGAAAUUUUACUUUGUCAUAUUCUAUUCUUAUUCAUUAUGAUGCUUAAUCAUGGGUUUGGUGCCUAUAUGUGUAAAAACUUUUACUGUGGUACUCUUAACCAUGAGGUUGGUGCCUGUAUGCUACUGUAGUAUCCGGUAUUUGGUAUGUUUUAAAUAUGCCUGUAUUAUGCUGAUGUGGUCCCCCCUAUACGACUACAAGGUUUUUAAAUUUUAGCUCUAUAAAAUGUUCUUGUAGACAUCCCAUUAGUGGAUGACAUAUCAUUAUAUUUUCAUCACUCAUAUUAUAAUACCAGUAGCAUUAAAUCUAGGAGUCUAGUUUCUUAGGGAACAAAAAGAGUCUAGCUUGUCGAGUUUUGGGUUUUCUUUGAACUUAAAUUCUAGAUUGUUCUGAUGUUCCUUGCCUUAUUGUGGAUGAGAUUAUAACUCAUCAGAAAAUGUUAUUUUUGGUUUUUCUAAUAGCACUUAAUGAUGCACUCAAAGAGGAAAUUCAGCACCUGAAAGUUCUGACUGGCCAAGCUAUGCCAAAUGGUGGACCUAUGAUGAACUUCGCUUCUUUUGGUGCUGGUCCUAGUGCUGGCCAGCAGUUUUAUCCAAACAAUCAAGCCAUGCACACUCUUCUAACUGCACAGCAAUUUCAACAGCUCCAGAUACAUUCUCAGAAGCAGCAGCAUCAGUUUCAGCAGCAUCAACUGCAUCAACUUCAGCAACAACACAUGCAGCAGCAGCAACAACAACCACAACCACCUCCACAACAGCAGCAGCAGCAGCAGCAACAACAACAACAAAGUGAGGACUUGAAAACAGCAGCAACCAUGCAGUCUCCAAGUUUAAAUGAUAAUGCUUCAGAGGGCAACCAAACAGUAGCAAAGGAUUGUUAAGAGAAAUUCUCAAGUUGGUCAGAAGUAUUGGGGGUACGUAGGCAGAUCAGGACAAGAGCUUUUCUAAUAAGCAAGCCAAGCUGCUGAAAUCGCAGAAAUGCACACCUGAAUUGGAACAUUUGGGUUGUUAACAAGCAAUGCUACUCUUAUCAAAAUUGGAUUGAUAUAAGAGGAUGCUGGAUAUACAAAUAGAGUUGGCUGAAGUUUAAAAUCACUGAAGGAAAUUCUGUACAUUGUUGAAGGAAAAUCAAGUUUAGUGUGCCUUAUCAAACUAGGAAUAGGAAUAGGAGAGAAUGUUCUAGAUUUCCCAAUCCUACACGGAUUGGUAUUCCUUGUAUUAUUAGAACUAGUACUUUGUAAUCCCUAUAUAUAGGGCCCCUAUUCUCAAUAAUAAUACACACAAUUCUCUUUACAA